AAAUGGACUCUCAGCAACGGAUAUCUUGGCUCUU
rnacentral:rRNA from 1 species